rnacentral:tRNA from 1 species
UGUAGCUCAGUGGCAGAGCGCUUGCCUCGCAUGCAUGAGGCACUGGGUUUGAUUCUCAGCA